rnacentral:rRNA from 1 species
GACAGAGGUCCCGAGCGUUAGGCGGAAUCACUGGGCUUAAAGCGUGUGUAGGCGGAUUUGUAAGUACCUUGUGAAAUCCCAUGGCUUAACCAUGGAACUGCUUGGUAUACUGCGAAUCUUGAGCCACUUAGGGGCGACCGGAACAGACGGUGGAGCGGUGAAAUGCGUAGAUAUCGUCUGGAACGCCAAUGGUGAAAACAGGUCGCUGGGAGUGUGCUGACGCUGAGACACGAAAGCCAGGGGAGCAAACGGG